GAAGCGUUAACUUAAGUUUAAAGUGUUAGAUUUUUAAUCUAAAAAUGUUAUUACACGUUUUA
rnacentral:tRNA from 1 species